rnacentral:rRNA from 1 species
CCUACGGGCGGCAGCAGUGGGGAAUAUUGGACAAUGGGGGCAACCCUGAUCCAGCCAUGCCGCGUGUGUGAAGAAGGCCCUCGGGUUGUAAAGCACUUUCAGUGAGGAAGAACGCCUGGUGGUUAAUACCCAUCAGGAAAGACAUCACUCACAGAAGAAGCACCGGCUAACUCCGUGCCAGCAGCCGCGGUAAUACGGAGGGUGCGAGCGUUAAUCGGAAUUACUGGGCGUAAAGCGCGCGUAGGUGGCUUGAUAAGCCGGUUGUGAAAGCCCCGGACUCAACCUGGGAACGGCAUCCGGAACUGUCAAGCUAGAGUGCAGGAGAGGAAGGUAGAAUUCCCGGUGUAGCGGUGAAAUGCGUAGAGAUCGGGAGGAAUACCAGUGGCGAAGGCGGCCUUCUGGACUGACACUGACACUGAGGUGCGAAAGCGUGGGUAGCAAACAGGAUUAGAUACCCGGUAGUC